CACGUAGGGCGCAAGCGUUGUCCGGAAUUAUUGGGCGUAAAGAGCUCGUAGGCGGUCUGUUGCGUCCGUUGUGAAAACUCGGGGCUUAACCCCGAGCCUGCAGUGGAUACGGGCAGACUAGAGGUAGGUAGGGGAGAAUGGAAUUCCCGGUGUAGCGGUGAAAUGCGUAGAUAUCGGAAGGAACACCAGUGGCGAAAGCGGCUUCCUGGUCCAGCACCGACGUUCAGGCACGAAAGCGUGGGGAGCAAACAGG
rnacentral:rRNA from 1 species